rfam:Mus musculus chromosome 13, GRC primary reference assembly.
UUAAAGGCCCUUUUUAGGGCCACCACAAAAUCAAAAGAGCUAAGU